CCAACGGUCGUGGUGGGGGUAGUUCGAGGCGGCGUGAAGUAGAACGGUCGGUUGUCCUGAGAGAAUUCUUACGUCAAGGGCGUGGCGAAAGUGCAGAGUGGGGGGGGCUCGGGCCUGGUUGAGGCGCCUUUCGCAUAGUAGUGACAUCACUGCAUGGAAGGGAAGGGAGGACAUAAAGCAGGCCAAGAAAAGCAGUGCGUGGACACUGGGAAGCAAACAAGCAGCUUGUGUCAGCAUCUAGAAAUACCUGCUACCGUGUACACGUAUUGAAGAAAUUAAAGCUUUCUUUGGACAGUUACUUGUUUCAAUCGUGGCCAUGCAAUUGAAAAUAGAAUCCGUUGGGAUUCCACCGUAUCUGUGACACUACACUGCAACGUUGAAGUAAACUUCAUAGUACUUCUUCUAGGUAAUUGUGAUGUAAUGCACCUGCAAUUCCACGUCCAAUAAAAGAUGGUUAAAAAGUGAAAUUCCUGAAGUUUACAAAUUUGUACCCCAAGAACAAACUUCAUGAUGAAUACUGGAAGUUUUGCUAACUAUUUGAUGGCUUCACAGCCCUAAGUGAGGAAAUCUAUUAAAGGUUGAUGCUUCAGAUGUAUCUUGCUGUCUCUUAAAAGUAAUGACAGUUGUUUUAAAAAAGAGUAGUUAUUAUUGUGUUCCUCUUUGAACAUAUGAAUACCAAGGCGAUGCAUGGGAACAGGCUUGAACAUCACCUCACAAUGUGCCCUUUGGAAAACCUGCAGUAAAAAAAAGUGUGAGAAAAAAACAUCAGAAGUUAAAGGACAAACAAUAGACUGUUUAUGAGAGGGUGUAUGAAAAUAAUUUAAUAUUGAUAUAUGGUGACGUUUUCAUUACUUCCUUAAGUCUGGUAAUGCAAAUGUGCAUAAAGAUAAUACAGCACUGAAAUGGCUCUGAGCAGUUGAAGUGGUCUUGCAAUAAGUGAACUUCAGAAUAUUUUACCAGGAUAUCAGCAUCUGAGAUGAGCGUGUGAGCUGUGCAUGAGUCAGAUAAAGGACAAACACAGAAAUCUUAGUUACAAAGAAUGCAAUUACAGAAAGAUGGAGGGAAUAUUCUAACGAGCUCUUUAAUGUUGAAAUGGAUAAAGGCAAACAAACAGCAAAUUUCCAGUCAGCUGAGCUUUUUGUGGAAGAAUCAAGAGGCAGUCACAACACUCAGGAACAAUACGGCACCAGCGAUAUAAAGGAAAUUUCAAGCAUACCAAAAGAAUGUUAUGCCAGUCAAACAGGAAAAAAAGAAAUCUCAAGUGCUGGAGUUAAGAGACCUUCCUGAAAAGUAAGCAAAGACAAGAUAAGUUCCAAAUAGAAAUGUGCUAUUUUUUGGUAAUGAAGAAGCUGUAAUUUGGGGGUGGGAAUUUAUAUAAAUUCAAAGAAAGGGAUUAAAUUCCUUUAUUUUGCUUAUAUAGAGACAAAACUGCAUAUAAGAGUGCUACCAUAAAAAAUUAUUGUUGAUCAACACAUGCAUAGUGUCCUUUGUAGUAAAAAUGGAAAGCUUACAUAUCAUUAUAUCAGUUUUGAGACUGGGACUCAAAGUAGGUUUGUUAUUUUUGUAGAAAAUGCUCUACUUAAGCUGCAGCCAAGAUCUAAGGUUUCUUAGAUCUUAAGUUUCUUAGUUCACACAGAACAUGGUGUGAACUCACACUUCUGUCAGAUGUCUUUAUUCUAUCUCAGUGGUAUCUUGUAAUGAAAGAGCUGCUGUGUUCUUUAGGGAAGUAUGCAUAGAAUCAGUGAGCUUUACUUGAACAUUAAAAUUGUAUAUAAUUAAUUUCUUAAAGAAGACAUGCUCUAAAUUAUCAUGGCUGUUUAAACAGAUGUUAGUGUUACUUCUGCCAUUACUAUAGAAUCCCCAUAUCAAACAUACAGUAAUUCCAGUCACAUUUUAUCACAUUUUAAACACAGAAUUGCAGUGUCUAGGUAAACAACUUAUAGGUAUGGUAAUGGCUGUAGUAUGUAACUGGCCACAUUAAUGACUGGGAGCAGAGUAACAAAGUAAUGGUUGAGGAUUUCUGUCUCUUCCUAUUACAAGGUUCCUGUAAUUCAUAGCGUAGUUACUCAAUUUAUUUCCAGAGAGUUACUUACUACUUACAUGAAGCUUAUAUUUGCUUGUCUGUAUAAAAAUAUAAGGUUAAAUGCUCUCUUCUUUUUGAUGCAGCCAUUAUAUCUAUUAAGAACCUUUUUUAUGUAUCCUCUGUUGCGUUCUUUAUUCUGUGUAUGUAUAUUUCACAGCUGCCAAUUUCUAUGACUAAUUUAUCUAGUUACUAUCUUCUGGCCAUAGGUCUGCUUUCUUGAGGGUGAUUUUAAGAAGCAAAGAUGCACAUAAAAAUAAACAGAAAAUGUUAUACCAAAGCAGGAAUAAAAGGGAGGGGGAAGGGAGUGGGGAGUAUCUGGGAAAAUAUGUAACUUUUUUCCCUAGAAUCAUAGAAUUAUAGAAUCAUAGAAUCACAAGGUUGGAAACAGCCUAUAAGAUCAUCUAGUCCAACCAUCUUCUCAUUACCACUGCUACCACAAGCUACUAAACCAUAUCUUGCAGCUCCUCAUCCAGACAUUCCCUGAGGUGUUUACCUUGAAAAUGCCCAGCAGGUUGUAUCAGACACUCCUUGUCACAGAACUGAACAACACAGCUCAGCUAGUAGGUGCUGUCAUUUGGUUGAAGAAGUUUCAGUUACUUUCAUUUUGAUGGAGUAGAAUUUAAUGUGCAGCUGAUGACAAAACACAACAAAAUUAAAUAAACUUGUCCUUUUUUUCCCCUUGUAUUUCUUUAUUCAAAACCAUCUUCACUGUUGUAUCAUCAAAGGCAUUUUACUACUGUGUGCCUGGAAAGAGUAAAUUAAGGUUUAUGAGUAGCACUAACAAUCAAUUUUGAAUUUGCUCCUGAAUUCUCUUAUAGCAGUAGCUCUGUUUUCAUGCUGUUUUUUUCCCCAAAAUGGUGAUUUGUGUAUGAGACACUGCAGUUAAAAUGUGUAACAAACCUUUUCUGUUACUAUACAAAAGAUUUGAAGAGCAAGUUAAAUAGUUUUAAAAUAUAUUCAGUUUAUAAUUAAUCAAAUUCCUUAGUUUCAGCUUUCGUUAUAGAUUUGCUUUUGUUGUUACUGUGGAAGCCCAUUACAUAAGUUGUUUGCAAAACAUAAUAUCACUGGAAAUUAGUUUCCAUUCUGUUUUAUGUCUUGUGUUUGUGUUGUUUUUUAAAGUAAUGUUCCAUCUUGCAGAUAAGGUAACCAAAAUGGACUGCUACUUUCUCAAUACCAUAGUUAUGUUUAAGAGCAACCUUCAAAGUUGAUAGCAGAUCUGUCUUACUGCAAGGAGUUUUUAUGCUAAAUUCUUUAUGCAACAAAGCUUCCAACCCUGUAUUACAGUUUGUCCAAUUGUAUUUAAUCUCCUCUUAGCCAUUAAGAAGAAUCCUCUCUUCUUUUCAGAAGGUCAUAGCUGAGUAAGUUUAUUGCAUGUGGAAAAUAGGCUUAUUUUUCCUGUGAGGAGUACCAUUUGUUGUGGUGCAAUAGCAUUCCUAACCAAACCUUGGCAACUGUUCAUCUGCUGCUUGAAGAGAACCACACUUUAUACAGGAGGAAAUAAAAGCUGUCUGAUUUUUAUUUUUAUUUUUUACUUUACACUAUUGGAAUAUACAUAUGUCAGAAGAUCCAAGUCUGCCUUAUGUAAACUUGUGUUAAAACCACUACUAUUUAUUUAUGAUAGCAUACUUAAAGAACUGAAGACGUUCAUUAGCUUUAAUGGAUUGUGAGGCCAUAUUUAUUGCUAGUAACAACAAGGGAAUACAGAUUAUAAAUAGCUGUCAUUUCAUAUUAUAAAAUGAAUGUAGAAGCUAGUUACUUGCAAAGUUUGUGGUUCUGCAAAUUCUUCUUUUUGCAAAUGAAAUGAAUGUUACUCUUAAGGUGCCACUGCUUUUUGAGCCUUCUCUCUUAAAUGAUGCUGUGUGCUUUAGAAAAAAUCAAUGCUGCACUGCUAUGUGGACAUAAUUACUAAAGAUUUGGGCCUGGUAGGCUACUAUUCAUUCCUAGAGAAAAAAGAUAAGGAAGCAGCAGUUUGCAUUGCUCAGUAGCUUUAAUGGACUUUGAUCUUCUGUUCUGUGGAUUUGUUCAUUUUAUUUGCACCUAAUUUUAAAAUAUUUUCCCAAAGACCUAUCAUUGACUGUAACCUGAUAAAAGUUUCAUAGGUGGGAGUGUGAAAGCAGUCGCUGAUGGUGCAUUAAUCGGUGCCAGAUGGCACAGCUGGACAAUGUACUGCAACUGUUCUCUGCAUCCUGAAGUUGCCUAUUGAGCAAAGACCUCUAGCAGCACUGUCUUCUUUCUGUAAGGCUGUAUGAUUCAGAGAGAUAUCAAAUGAGAAGGCUGAAGGGCCUUCAUAUUGCUACUGGCAGUUCAAGUAACCAGACCUAUUUUUCUCUCCAAUGCUUCAAGUUUUCUUGGAUGAAAACUCCUUAGAUUUUUCUUUCAGUGUUAAAUAUUUAGCUUCCAAGUGUCUCAGCAGUGUCAAAAGUUUCAUGCUCAACAGGUGGUGGUUUCAGAGUAUUGUAUACACUGUGCCUUCGGAUCAGCCUGUGUGAAACCAUAUGUUAUUUGCCACUUUAUUCGUGUGCUUUUUUUCUCUAGUGCAAUUUGUCAUUGUCCAUAGCACACAACUAUUGCCUUUAUCAUUCACACUUUGUCUGGGAUCAAGUGGUGAACAUGGGAAGCCAUUGGAGCUGUCAGACCUUGAUGCUGGAUCUUCUGUGUAUAAACUGCCAGCGUUUCCAUGGUGCAAUAACAAAAAAGCUCGGUGCAGCUGUUCAUUGAAGUGUGCUUAAGUGCUUUAUUCUCUGCUGUUUGAUUGAGGUAACAUCUAUUUCUGCAAAUGGAUGAAGAUGGAGAAGAUACCUCUACUUUCAGGCAUGCACUUGUACCCAGUGAUUUGUAGGAGGUGUGGAACUAGGUGAUCUUUAAAGUCCCUUCCAACCUAAGCUAUUCUAUGAUUUAUUUCAAAUAAUUCAAU